GUCCACAGAGCGGCACAGGGCAGGGCCCUGGGACCCUGAAGCCACCUCAGCUUGGAGGGCCAAUCGAUCCCUUGGCAGUUAUGGGAUCCAUCCUGAGCGUCGUCGCUGAGGCCCAGCCUGACGGUGUCGGCUUGGCAUCCCAACACUGGAGGCAGAGCAGGAGGACCAGGAGGUCAAGGUCAGCCUCUGCUACAUAGUUUCUGGAAAAUGUGAGACCCUGCCUCAAACAGAAAGAGGAAAAGAGAAAAAGAUAAACCCGGAUGUUCUUCUGGUAUGUGUUCUAGGGGAGCCUGCUGAGGCCCUGGCUCCACCUACACACUGCAAGGAAAACAGAACAAAAGUUACUUUGUAUCAUUAAAGAUUGGGGCCAG
rnacentral:lncRNA from 1 species